rnacentral:rRNA from 1 species
ACUCCUACGGGAGGCAGCAGUGGGGAAUAUUGCACAAUGGGCGCAAGCCUGAUGCAGCGACGCCGCGUGGGGAUGACGGCCUUCGGGUUGUAAACCUCUUUCACCAGGGACGAAGCGCAAGUGACGUGUCAGCCUGGAGAAGAAGCACGGCCAACUACGUGCCAGCAGCCGCGGUAAUACGUAGGGUGCGAGCGUUGUCCGGAAUUACUGGGCGUAAAGAGCUCGUAGGUGGUUUGUCGCGUUGUCCGUGAAAUCCCACGGCUUAACUGUGGGCGUGCGGGCGAUACGGGCAGACUGGAGUACUGCAGGGGAGACUGGAAUUCCUGGUGUAGCGGUGGAAUGCGCAGAUAUCAGGAGGAACACCGGUGGCGAAGGCGGGUCUCUGGGCAGUAACUGACGCUGAGGAGCGAAAGCGUGGGGAGCGAACAGGAUUAGAUACCCUGUAGGCUCUG